UCUAGCAAUAGAUUGCUGACGACCGGCGCACGGUGAGUAACACGUAUCAACCUCCGUUACUCGGGAUAGCCUUCGAAGAAAGAUUAAUACCCGAUAGUAUGUUUUCCCGUCAUGGGAGAACCAUUAAAGUUUUCGGUAAUCGAUGGGGAUGCGUUCCAUUAGGCAGUUGGUGAGGUAACGGCUCACCAAACCUUCGAUGGAUAGGGGUUCUGAGAGGAAGGUCCCCCACAUUGGAACUGAGACACGGUCCAAACUCCUACGGGAGGCAGCAGUGAGGAAUAUUGGUCAAUGGACGAGAGUCUGAACCAGCCAAGUAGCCGUGAAGGAUGACUGCCCUAUGGGUUGUAAACUUCUUUUAUAUGGGAAUAAAGGAGCCUACGUGUAGGUUUUUGUAUGUACCAUACGAAUAAGGAUCGGCUAACUCCGUGCCAGCCGCCGC
rnacentral:rRNA from 1 species